GUGCUCGCUUCGGCAGCACAUAUACUAAAAUUGGAACGAUACGGAAAAUAUUAGCAUGGCCCCUGCACGAGGAUGACACGCAAAUUCGUGAAGCGCUCCAUAUUUUU
ensembl:snRNA U6 U6 spliceosomal RNA